rnacentral:rRNA from 1 species
CCCUUAGAUGUUCUGGGCAGCACGCGCGCUACAAUGGUCUUCGCAAACGGAUGCAUUCUCGAAGGAGAAUACCAAUCUUGGAAUCUAUGCCUUGGUCGGGACAGUUGCUUGCAAUUUUUCGACUCGAACCAGGAAUUCCUUGUAAUCGUAAUUCAUCACAUCACGAUGAAUACGUCCCUGCCCUUUGUACACACCGCCCGUCGCUCCUACCGAUCGAAGAGUUAGGUGAAUUGUUUUGAUCGAUAAGAUUUGACUAUGGUCAACUCUCGUUGUGAAAUUCUGUGAAUCUGACUGUUUAGAGGAAGGAAAAGUCGUAACA